CAUGCACUCACAUACUUCCAAGCUUAGCCACUCUUUUUCUCCCUCUCUCUCUUGCUCUUGGCCGAGUUCAAGCACACACACACACAUUUCACUCACUUUUCUCUCAAGAAAACUCUCCCAUACCUCCUCCAUAUUUUCGAGAUCUAAGAAGGAUUCAAGGGGAUUCUUACACAAAUUCUUCAUCUAAGGUAAGAUAAAUUUUGGAUCUAUGAUAUAGGUUCUUUGUUUUAUCAAAAUCUCCUUCUAUACCAUGUAAAAAUCAGGAUCACUCUCUUAGAGACCCUCUAAGUUCGAGAUCUUCCAAGGAGGGGUACUAAGGCCGAAUUUGCCUCUCAUUUUCUUCCAAAAACCGAAACCACACCCAAAGGUGAGCUUCAUACCCCCUAUUUUUCUGUUUUUAUAAGUUUUUGUGGGGGAGAACACAAGCAAAUGUGUAGAUCUAUGAGUUCGUAUGUCUUGUGUGAUUUUAUGCAUGUAUGUAUGGUUUUUAUGUGUUAUGUGAUGAUUAUGUUAGCUAAAAAUACCUAAAAACCGAGAUAUACAACAUUAAGAAUGAUAUAAACAAAGCUUAUACCAUUUUACACUAAUCAAGUCAAUAAAAACGAUUUAUUUAGUUAGGAUGAACAUUUUUGGACACAAAACCCAUUUUUGGGCUCAAAAUGUCAAAAAUACAAAACUAAGGGGCCCAAAACGACAAAACAUAAUUUUUGGAGCUUGAAACAAGUCCAAACAGUUUUUAAGAUAACUUUUCUGAAUAAAAAACACUUUGGAGGGGCUUAAAAUGUGAAUUUUAAACCUAAUGGGCUAAAAAUGGGCUUUUCGGCCCAAUAAGCCCCAAAUUGCGAAAAUCCGGAAAUAGAGGGGCUGAAACUGCACAUUUAUGAAAAACAGGGGAUUACUAUUGUAAUAAAACUAUUUCAAGGGUCAAAAUGUUUUCAAAUUAAAAAGGGACUAAAAAUGCAAAAAUUUUCCAUUUUGGGCCAAAAUUGUAAAAGUUGUGAAAAUGGGGGUUUCAACCGAGAAAUUUCAUUUUUGAGGGACUUAAGCUGUUUAUCAAGUAAAUUUGGGCUGAAAAUGUAUUUUCAACAAGUUUUGAUACUAAAGUGUCAAGAAAAAUGGUUUAAGGACUAAAAUGGAAAUUCUUUUAUAUAAAGAGUUAAAAGUAUAAAUUUUUAUCCAAGAAGGGGCAUCAAAAAGAAAAAAUCUAAUGUUUAAAACAAUAAAUCCCUUAAGAUAAAAAUUUGAGUACCACGGCUACCGGCAAAACGUAAUAGCAAAUACACCUUCAACACCCAAAAAUCGUUACCAAACGAAUUGAUUCGGUCUCGAAUCAAUAACAAAUCAAAAAUCGAUAAACAAUGAUACUUCAAUACACACGCAAAAAUUUACGAGAAGUCAAUACACCAUCUUUGGGCCUGAAAGUUUCAAAUCGUGCUUGUUGGGCCUAGCUAGCCCAAUGACAUGAUCUUUAGGCCCGAAGAAAACGCGCUUACAUGUUGUUGGGCCUUAUAUGACCUAAUUCCGUGUAAAAGGACUUUCAAUAGCUUUUUGUGCUGUUGGGCCCCAAGGGUCCUUUGGUAUUGCUAGCAAAGUCGAGAAGUCAAAUGCGAGUCGGGCCAAGGGCCUUGCGCAUUCACGAUAGCCUUGAACGACUUACAAAAAUAAUGGGGGCUUCACACCCUCUUUUCUCCUCGGCCGUGGGGUUAUGAGAAGUCAGGGUGGUUGGAUUAAGUGAGAAGUGUGGACGACGCCUAAGGGAUCGUUUGUAAAGUUGUAAACUAGUAAUUUUCAUUAAUGCGUGCUGAUAAUGACUCACAAUCCAUAAUUAAUCCAAUGUCACCUGGAACUAUAGAAUACAACGUCGUAUCAGAAUAAUAAUAACUAAGCCACGUAAUUUGAUGUAUUAGGAAAACUUCGGGUUUUCCUAGGGAAUUCAACACUUUCACCUAUGUGAUGCAUACAAAGUCUAACAAUUAUUCACAUUUACAGAAAUCAACAAGCAUACUUACGGAUCUUCACACUUUUUCUUACUUACAAUAAUCUUUUCAGAAAAUAUCGGUUUUUCUGAUGGUUUUGAAAAUAAUACAAAUCAUUACUUUUCAAACAUUACUUAUGAACUCACCAACAUUUCAUAUAUUGACGUUUUUCCAAAAUACUUGUAUUCUCAGGUAACAGGUAAAUCGAAGAAAAUGUAUCCAGUGAUAUCAUGAUGUUUUGUUUAAUUAAUAUUGAACGGUUUAUGUUUUGGAAUUGUAAUAUGUAAAAACAAUGUAAUGAACGUAAACACUGAUGAUUGUAAUAUUUCAAUGCAUGGUGACGAAUGAUGUUAUGAUUCAUGUAUAUUCAUUGUGAUGGUAUUCAAUUGAGUCACAAUAGCCCUCGGACGUUUCUACCGUCUGGUUCGGGGGUGUGACAGGUUGGUAUCAGAGCUCUGUUUAUAGUGAACUAGCAUAUCUAACCACACAUUGAUAUGCAACUAUAAACCAAAAAAGGGACUAACACAACUCUGAACAAAACAAGUAAAACACAACAAUAAAACACCCUUGCUUGCAUUAGGAAUAAGAACAUAACGCCGAACCAAACAAGAUGAUGCUAGUAUCCCGGUUAAUCCAGGACUGUUCUUAGUGGUAUCAAGGAGUGGAUAUAGCCUGAUCAACUACAUUCUCUCCAAGGUAUAACUAACACACGUUCUGAGGAGAUCGUGAUAGCUAGGGAACCUAAAAAUAUACCCCUUUAGCACCAAAAAGAGAACACCUGCUUAGUCUGUACAACAGUUGUAGCACCCUAGGAAUAAUGCUAGCAUAUUUACACACUCUUGCAGACAGCAUGGCUGGUUUCAAUCACCCCGGAGAUCCUUACUUCCCUAACCAGGGAAAUAACUGAUGUUUAGACGAGGAGCCUGAGGAAGACCCCGAAGAGGAAUCUGACGGGGAACCGGAGGCAGGGGUCGAGGGCGAGCCUGCCGAACCAGAAGAGGAACAGGAUGAGGAAGAAGAUGAAGGAAGCUUCGAGGAGGAACCCGAUGACAGUGAAGGGGGUGAUUCGAAUGCGGAGUCCGAGUUCAUCAACCCCCCUUACCCGAUUAGGGUGCCUGCUUACCAGGUGGGCCCCACUGGUCCUACACCUCCCUGGGGUAUUGAUCUUUGGAGAUGGAGCAGACAGCAGGGACAGCGACCCCCGUACGACAUGUCACGCGAGUUCUUUGACCUGAGGGACGGAGGAUCGGCUGAUUGAGCCCUUCCAGUCAUGGUGAGACGAUUACGGAACACUGGCGACCUUACUCAGAGCACUGCCGACCAGGUACGCCAGUUGUGGACUACGGUCAAGCGUGCAGAACAGGAGACACGUGACGUCCUUCGAGAGUUCCAUAUGAGGUAGGUGAGGUGGGAGUCUCGACUCCAGGAUGCAGAACGACAGGUGGCUCGUCUUCAGGGAGCAUCCACAUCCUCAGCACCACCCCCGGGCACAACUCAUCGCGGUUAGGAAUAAACUUAAUUCUUGUGUCCAUUAGGAGUUUCGAUGUGAUUAUUGGCAUGGACUGGUUAAGCCUCUACCAUGCUGAAAUUAUGUGCCACGAGAAGGCCGUUCGUCUUCGCCUUCCCAAUCACGAAACCCUAGUUAUUUACGGAGACAUACCGAGCACGACCCUUCGUCUUAUCUUGUGCGUCCAGGCACAGAAACAUCUACGAAAGAAAGAUUUGACAUUUCUGGCUCACAUAGUGGAUAAAACCCAGGGAGAGACUAACAUUCAAGACAUUCCAGUAGCACGUGAAUUCCCAGACGUAUUUCCUGAAGAUCUUCCUGGAGUACCCCCAGAGAGACAAGUUGAGUUCCAAAUUGACCUCGUUCCAGGAGCAACCCCUCUCGCUAAAUCACCCUACCGGCUAGCUCCUGCUGAAAUGCAGGAAUUGUCGAGUCAACUCAGCGAACUCCUGGGCAAGGGAUUCAUCCGACCCAGCUACUCGCCAUGGGGAGCUCCGGUCCUCUUUGUCAAAAAGAAGGACGGAUCUUUUAGGAUGUGNNNNNNNNNNNNNNNNNNNNNNNNNNNNNNNNNNNNNNNNNNNNNNNNNNNNNNNNNNNNNNNNNNNNNNNNNNNNNNNNNNNNNNNNNNNNNNNNNNNNNNNAUCUUUUAGGAUGUGCAUCGAUUACAGAGAGUUAAAAAAACUCACCGUCAAAAAUCGCUAUCCACUCCCACGAAUCGAUGAUCUAUUUGACCAGCUCCAAGGGGCUAGUUACUUUUCUAAAAUAGAUCUAUGGUCCGGGUACCAUCAGCUUAAGGUCCGAGAAGAAGAUAUUCCCAAAACAGCUUUCCGAACUCGUUACGGAAAUUAUGAAUUUGUUGUAAUGCCCUUCGGUCUAAGAAAUGCCCCUGCCGCAUUUAUGGAUCUGAUGAACCGAAUCUGACGACCAUUCCUUGACAACUUUGUCAUCGUCUUCAUUGACGACAUUCUCGUCUAUUCCCGAAGCGAGGAAGAGCAUGGCCAACAUCUCCGACAAAUCUUAGAAACUCUGCGAGCGGAAAAGCUAUACGCAAAACUCUCCAAGUGUGAGUUCUGGCUCCGUAGUGUGAACUUCCUAGGUCAUGUUGUUAGCCAAGAUGGAAUUCAUGUGGAUCCCUCUAAGGUCAAAGCCGUCGAAGGAUGGGCAGUCCCGACAACACCCACAAAAAUUCGCCAAUUCUUAGGCCUAGCAAGCUACUAUAGGAGGUUCAUUCAAAACUUCUCUAAGAUCGCCAAACCACUUACCUCACUUACACAAAAGGGCGUACCAUUCAAAUGGACGGACAAACAAGAAGUUGCAUUCCGAACCCUGAAGCAAGCCCUCUGUAGUGCUCCGGUACUAUCUCUAUCGGAGGGAACGGAAGAUUUCGUGGUCUACUGUGAUGCGUCAAAUCAGGGCUUAGGUUGUGUUCUCAUGCAGCGUGGAAGGGUGAUAGCUUACGCAUCCCGCCAACUAAAGACACACGAAGUGAAUUAUACAACCCAUGAUAUGGAAUUAGGAGCGAUGGUCUUUGCUCUAAAGAUUUGGAGACAUUACCUUUGGUACGAAGUGCACCAUCUUCACGGACCACAAAAGUCUCCAACAUAUCUUGAAUCAGAAAGAGCUGAAUAUGAGGCAACGAAGAUGGGUUGAAUUAUUAAACGAUUACGAGUGUGAAAUCAAGUACCACCCGGGCAAGGCCAACGUGGUAGCUGAUGCAUUGAGUCGGAAGGAGUACUCUAAUCGUCGUGCAAAAACUCUCUUAAUAACCAUCCAAUCUCACCUAACCACUCAGAUUGGGGAAGCCCAGUCAGAGGCCAUGAAGACGGAAAACAGAGCAAGAGAGGCAUUACGCGGAAUGGAGAAGAAUCUAGAGGUAAAAGAGGAUGGGGUAUACUAUUUCAUGAACCGUAUUUGGGUCCCUAAACUCGGAGGAUUUAGGGAGCUAGUCAUGAAUGAAGCUCACAAAACGCGAUACUCCAUCCAUCCCGGUUCGGACAAGAUGUACUUGGAUAUUAAACGACAAUAUUGGUGGCCUAACAUGAAGGUAGAAAUUGCCACCUACGUCAGCAAAUGCCUUACUUGUGCCAAAGUAAAGGUGGAGUACCAGAAGCCCUCGGGGUUAUUACAGCAACCGGUAAUUCCCGAGUGGAAAUGGGAAGGGAUUUCUAUGGAUUUUGUGACCAAACUACCUAAGACGCCAGAUGGACUAGACACCAUAUGGGUAAUAGUCGACCGACUGACGAAAUCUGCUCAUUUCCUGCCAAUAAAAGAAUCCUACAAGAUGGAAAGACUGACACGAUUAUACAUUCGAGAAAUCGUGAGACUCCAUGGAGUACCAGUGUCUAUUAUCUCAGAUAGAGACAGUAGAUUCACUUCACGUUUUUGGCAAUCACUUCAGAAAGCACUUGGAACCCAUCUCGACAUGAGCACCGCUUAUCACCCACAAACGGACGGUCAAAGCGAACGAACCAUCCAGACGCUCGAAGACAUGCUUCGCGCAUGUGUGAUAGACUUUGGGAAGUCUUGGGAUACCCACUUACCCUUAGUCGAAUUCUCGUAUAACAACAGUUACCAUUCGAGCAUCAAGGUCGCUCCUUUCGAAGCACUAUACGGGCGUAAGUGUAGAUCACCGUUAUGUUGGGCUGAAGUGGGUGACACCCAGCUAGAAAAAGCACUCGCAUCGGACAAGGUGCUAAUAGGACUGGAGAUCAUUCGUGAAACCACGGAAAAGAUAGUUCAAAUCAGAGCUCGAUUACAAGCAUCGCGUGACCGACAAAAGAGCUACGCCGAUAAACGGCGAAAGCCCUUAGAGUUUCAGGUCGGGGAUCGAGUGUUGUUAAAAGUUUCACCUUGGAAAGGAGUCAUUCAUUUCGGAAAACGGGGAAAACUGAACCCACGAUACAUUGGACCUUUCAAGAUCGUUGUCCGAAUAGGUCCAGUGGCGUACAAACUGCAACUACCCGCUGAGCUAAACAAUGUACACCCCGUGUUCCAUGUCUCUAAUCUAAAGAAGUGUCUAUCAGAUGAAACACUCGUCAUUCCCCUUGACAAGAUUGAAAUCAACUAAAAUCUCCUGUUCGUUGAAGAACCGGUCGAAAUUAUGGACAGGGAGGUGAAGCGUACUAAGCAAAGUCGCAUCCCGAUCGUGAAAGUACGGUGGAACGCGAAGCGUGGGCCAGAAUUCACGUGGGAACGCGAAGACCAAAUGAAGCAAAAGUACCCUCACCUAUUCUAGCAUUCUCAAAUCUAGCUUUCAAAAGAAUUUCGGGACGAAAUUCCCUCUAACGGGAGGAUGAUGUCACAAUCAGGAAUUUUGUGCCUUGUAACUACAUCACAUAAGUCAAAUUAUGAAUCAAAAACAUAAGAGCAUGUAUGAUGCUUACUCUAUGAAAACAAAAUUUCAAUCAAACACCCCAUGUAAACAAUUCAAAUAGUCGUUAAACAAUUGGAAACCCUAGGAGUUCUUGUUUACGUCCAUUUUUGGACUAGGACUUCUUUAUUGGGCCCAAAGGACCUAUAAGCUUCCAAUUUGGCUAUCUUGGGCUUAGAACUCUUAAAUGGGCUCUAAUUGGAACCAUUUCCAUUUAAUUCAAUAUUUUGGUCCAUAUUGGGCCUAGAAUGAAAUAGAUUAAUUAUAUGAACCAUUUUGGACCAUAAUUAACCUAAUCUAGCCUAAUAAAGCAUAAAAAUCACAUUUAUAUUUUUUUUGGGCCAAAAAUCAUCCAACCUAACUAUAACAUGGGCUUAAGGGCAAAAAGCCCAAAAACCUCCUCUCACCCUCCCCAUUCUCGGCCCAAGCCCAAGAGAAAGAGGAGUUGACUUUGUGAGUGACACCUCACAAUUGUUCAUGGGACAUCUAUGCAUUAAAACUCAAACAUCCAUGCACUCACAUACUUCCAAGCUUAGCCACUCUUUUUCUCCCUCUCUCUCUUGCUCUUGGCCGAGUUCAAGCACACACACACACAUUUCACUCACUUUUCUCUCAAGAAAACUCUCACAUACCUCCUCCAUAUUUUCGAGAUCUAAGAAGGAUUCAAGGGGAUUCUUACACAAAUUCUUCAUCUAAGGUAAGAUAAAGUUUGGAUCUAUGAUAUAGGUUCUUUGUUUUAUCAAAAUCUCCUUCUAAUCCAUGUAAAAAUCAUGAUCACUCUCUUAGAGACCCUCUAAGUUCGAGAUCUUCCAAGGAGGGGUACUAAGGCCGAAUUUUCCUCUCAUUUUCUUCCAAAAACUGAAACCACACCCAAAGGUGAGCUUCAUACCCCCUAUUUUUCUGUUUUUAUAAGUUUUUGUGGGGGAGAAUACAAGUAAAUGUGUAGAUCUAUGAGUUCGUAUGUCUUGUGUGAUUUUAUGCAUGUAUGUAUGGUUUUUAUGUGUUAUGUGAUGAUUAUGUUAGCUAAAAAUACCUAAAAACCGAGGUAUACAACAUGAAGAAUGAAAUAAGCAUAGAUUAUACCAUUCUACACUAAUCAAGUCAAUAAAAAUGAUUUAUUUAGUUAGGAUGAACAUUUUUGGACACAAAACCCAUUUUUGGGCUCAAAAUGUCAAAAAUACAAAACUAAGGGGCCCAAAACGACAAAACAUAAUUUCUGGAGGUUGAAACAAG
rnacentral:lncRNA from 1 species